rnacentral:rRNA from 1 species
GGGUAAGGGCAUGCGGAUUCUGCAACAUCGUGAGCAACCAUAACUACCGCACAUGCCCACUCCGCACAGAUGCCACUGUCAACAAGAACAAGCAGAUUGGAGCCACCCAACUUUCUACCAAUGGAGACAACACACGUAACAGCUACACUUGUCGCAAGUGUGGCGGAACUGACGGACAUAAUGCCCGCACGUGCAAAGUGGGCAAGGAGGUCAGUGGAGCUGAACAUAAACAGGGCAAGGUACAGAGUUCCAAGCAAUCAAAUGAAGACGAUGAAGAAGAAGAGUUUGAUGAGAAUGACGGCCAAUCAGACGAAGACAAUGAAGAUGACAGUGUCGGGGGCGAGGAAACUGAAACUGACGAUGAAGUUGCCAAGGCUCAACCUGGAAAGAGCG